rnacentral:rRNA from 1 species
UACAGAGGGUGCGAGCGUUGUCCGGAAUCACUGGGCGUAAAGGGCGCGUAGGCGGCUUUGUAAGUCGGGGGUGAAAGCCUGUGGCUCAACCACAGAAUUGCCUUCGAUACUGCAUGGCUUGAGACCGGAAGAGGUAAGUGGAACUGCGAGUGUAGAGGUGAAAUUCGUAGAUAUUCGCAAGAACACCAGUGGCGAAGGCGGCUUACUGGUCCGGUUCUGACGCUGAGGCGCGAAAGCGUGGGGAGCAAACAGG